rnacentral:rRNA from 1 species
GCUUACGGCCACACCGCCUAGUUCACGCUUGAUCUCGGAAGCUAAGAUAGGGUGGGCCUGGUUAAUACUUGGAUGGGAGACCGCCUGGGAAUACCAGGUGCUGUAAGCU